AUUUGUUAAUGAAGGCCAAACUCAGAACGAGUUAAGUAAUAAUGAUAUGUAAAAGAAAUUGAGAGAAGAGUAAUUGUCGUUCAUUUUUCUUAGUCAAUGUUUAUGGAGAGGCUAUGAAGAUUAAUGUUGCCAUCAUUCACAGGCAACAUUGCCUCAAUCAGGAUCCCUUGCGUUAUGUAGGAGAUAUGUUAGGAUGGCUCCAUCAGUUGAUUUAUCCUCACCAUCAGCAGUAAGGGAAGGUGUUUCUUUGCUGCUUGAGCUUAUUGAUACCUAUGAUGGCAUGAUGGUUCCUGCAUCUAGGAAGAAGCCUGACUUUGAUCCUGUGAUUGCUGCUUUACUGGAUCCUAUAAUUCAGGCAUGCAUGAUGGUGGGGCUGAAGGGAAUCGUUCCAAGAAGGUGAAAAGCGAAGAUACAUGCAAUCAUUCUGACAAAGGCGAGGAAGAUGUUGAAGAGGAAGAGGCAAGGAAGAAUAGACUUGGGCUUAAUAAGAAGAGUGGUGAUGAUGAUGAGUUGAUUGCGAAGGGAAAAUCCUAU